CUAAACGGAAGUGGAAUUUGGGGGGUUACAUGCAGUCGGUUUGCUACUUAGUACAUAUGAUGCAGGUCCUGGUGCAUAAGAUUUUAAAAAUGUAUCUGAAAUGAAGAGUUUAGGUGUCAGUUUAAAGGUACAUGUGUAAGUCACAGGGCAAAAGGCCUGAUUUGUGCAUUUCUUUGUAUGUUAGUGGUUGCCAGCCUCAAUAGUAGGGCAUGGUUUUUGCCUUCAAAUGGCAGUGCCGGUAGCUGUCAAAACCGGUUCAUAUGCUCUAAGGUAAUUAUUUUGAGUUACACCGUAUAGAAUUUUUUCAAAUGCAGUUUUUUUGUAAGUUUAUGAAACCACCUUUCCAGUCAUGUAUAGUUAUAUAUUGGCUUAUCGCUCGGUCAUGGUGAAAUUUGAGAUCAAAGAUUGCGAAUUCUAUAUAUAACAAAGAAGGAAAUUAAUUGGGCAUGUGUAACCUUUAAGAACUUCCGACCAAGUUAGUCGUCUUCCAGAAUGUUGACAAUUUACCAUCAAAAACUCUCUGUAUUGCAAAACAUAACUACCAGAUGUCAUUUUGACCCAAUUAAGGGCUGUUUGCAAUUGGGCUGUUGCACUUGGGGUCCUAAGGGGGGUAAAUGCUUGAAAAUCACUCCGAAACCUGUUCCGAAGACACAUUCUAAGACUACGUAAACACUCGGUAUUGUUUUUCAGUGACAUUUUGACAUUAAUUUGCAUCAAUCUCAAUAAUGAACCUAAUUCCUGUCUUUAUUUCAUCUGUAUUUAUUGCUAUUGUUUACUUUUAGCCUUUUACUAUUUAAAAUGUAAUGUGUGUUGUUUUUCCAUGCAAGCAAUUUUGGACCGACACUGCUAUCUGCCUUCGCUUUCAAUCCCGCCAGGCAGAUCUACUCAGAAUAACACUACUUUGCCUUAUUUUUCCUGUUUGGAUAUCUUGCUGAGUUCAAGUUAAAUCAAGUAUUCAGCUGAAAACACAAAAAGGAUAAUAAUAUUAUGCUUUCUUUCUUGGAACGAUGUUGUUGUGAUAGACCGUGCGUGAAAAACAGCAGGGAAUCUGUAUUUAAGUGACCUCAAUAUUAUACGUAAACCUAAAUGUACAUUUUUAGGUGGUGUCGGAAUUAGUCUAUAGCUCUGCCUGAACUGCUGUCCAAUUGGUUUACAAGUCCGGCUGAAGUGACAGGCCAUCAAAAACUGCACAGUAUGACUGAUUCGGAGACGGCCCUCAACACUCGCCCAGUCGUGUCGAGAGGAUCGGUGUCUUUGCAGAUUACACGGAAUUGAGCACCCGGGCCAGACUGACACUUUCCGGAGCCUGUCCGAGACGGAACUCGAGCCGAGGAAUCAUAGGUCCAGGUGGUGUCGGAAUUAGUCUAUAGCUCUGCCUGAACUGCUGUCCAAUUGGUUUACAAGUCCGGCUGAAGUGACAGGCCAUCAAAAACUGCACAGUAUGACUGAUUCGGAGACGGCCCUCAACACUCGCCCAGUCGUGUCGAGAGGAUCGGUGUCUUUGCAGAUUACACGGAAUUGAGCACCCGGGCCAGACUGACACUUUCCGGAGCCUGUCCGAGACGGAACUCGAGCCGAGGAAUCAUAGGUCCAGGUGGUGUCGGAAUUAGUCUAUAGCUCUGCCUGAACUGCUGUCCAAUUGGUUUACAAGUCCGGCUGAAGUGACAGGCCAUCAAAAACUGCACAGUAUGACUGAUUCGGAGACGGCCCUCAACACUCGCCCAGUCGUGUCGAGAGGAUCGGUGUCUUUGCAGAUUACACGGAAUUGAGCACCCGGGCCAGACUGACACUUUCCGGAGCCUGUCCGAGACGGAACUCGAGCCGAGGAAUCAUAGGUCCAGGUGGUGUCGGAAUUAGUCUAUAGCUCUGCCUGAACUGCUGUCCAAUUGGUUUACAAGUCCGGCUGAAGUGACAGGCCAUCAAAAACUGCACAGUAUGACUGAUUCGGAGACGGCCCUCAACACUCGCCCAGUCGUGUCGAGAGGAUCGGUGUCUUUGCAGAUUACACGGAAUUGAGCACCCGGGCCAGACUGACACUUUCCGGAGCCUGUCCGAGACGGAACUCGAGCCGAGGAAUCAUAGGUCCAGGUGGUGUCGGAAUUAGUCUAUAGCUCUGCCUGAACUGCUGUCCAAUUGGUUUACAAGUCCGGCUGAAGUGACAGGCCAUCAAAAACUGCACAGUAUGACUGAUUCGGAGACGGCCCUCAACACUCGCCCAGUCGUGUCGAGAGGAUCGGUGUCUUUGCAGAUUACACGGAAUUGAGCACCCGGGCCAGACUGACACUUUCCGGAGCCUGUCCGAGACGGAACUCGAGCCGAGGAAUCAUAGGUCCAGGUGGUGUCGGAAUUAGUCUAUAGCUCUGCCUGAACUGCUGUCCAAUUGGUUUACAAGUCCGGCUGAAGUGACAGGCCAUCAAAAACUGCACAGUAUGACUGAUUCGGAGACGGCCCUCAACACUCGCCCAGUCGUGUCGAGAGGAUCGGUGUCUUUGCAGAUUACACGGAAUUGAGCACCCGGGCCAGACUGACACUUUCCGGAGCCUGUCCGAGACGGAACUCGAGCCGAGGAAUCAUAGGUCCAGGUGGUGUCGGAAUUAGUCUAUAGCUCUGCCUGAACUGCUGUCCAAUUGGUUUACAAGUCCGGCUGAAGUGACAGGCCAUCAAAAACUGCACAGUAUGACUGAUUCGGAGACGGCCCUCAACACUCGCCCAGUCGUGUCGAGAGGAUCGGUGUCUUUGCAGAUUACACGGAAUUGAGCACCCGGGCCAGACUGACACUUUCCGGAGCCUGUCCGAGACGGAACUCGAGCCGAGGAAUCAUAGGUCCAGGUGGUGUCGGAAUUAGUCUAUAGCUCUGCCUGAACUGCUGUCCAAUUGGUUUACAAGUCCGGCUGAAGUGACAGGCCAUCAAAAACUGCACAGUAUGACUGAUUCGGAGACGGCCCUCAACACUCGCCCAGUCGUGUCGAGAGGAUCGGUGUCUUUGCAGAUUACACGGAAUUGAGCACCCGGGCCAGACUGACACUUUCCGGAGCCUGUCCGAGACGGAACUCGAGCCGAGGAAUCAUAGGUCCAGGUUGUGACAGAAAACUUAAAGCUCAUGUCUGACGAUGACUUUUUUUUGCGUCAGGAAGU